AUUGAACGCUGGCGGCAUGCCUUACACAUGCAAGUCGAACGGCAGCACGGGGCAACCUGGUGGCGAGUGGCGAACGGGUGAGUAAUGCAUCGGAACGUACCUUCCAGUGGGGGAUAACGUAGCGAAAGUUACGCUAAUACCGCAUAUUCUGUGAGCAGGAAAGCAGGGGAUCGCAAGACCUUGCGCUGAUUGAGCGGCCGAUGUCAGAUUAGCUAGUUGGUGAGGUAAAGGCUCACCAAGGCGACGAUCUGUAGCGGGUCUGAGAGGAUGAUCCGCCACACUGGAACUGAGACACGGUCCAGACUCCUACGGGAGGCAGCAGUGGGGAAUUUUGGACAAUGGGGGCAACCCUGAUCCAGCCAUGCCGCGUGAGUGAAGAAGGCCUUCGGGUCGUAAAGCUCUUUCGGCCGGGAAAAAAUCGCACGGGCUAAUACCCUGUGUGGAUGACGGUACCGGAAUAAGAAGCACCGGCUAACUACGUGCCAGCAGCCGCCGUAAAAC
rnacentral:rRNA from 1 species